GGGGCGGUAGCUCAGCUGGUUAGAGCAGCGGACUCAUAAUCCGUCGGCCGUGGGUUCAAGUCCCACCCGCCCUACAA
rnacentral:tRNA from 2 species